rnacentral:rRNA from 1 species
GACGAACGCUGGCGGCGUGCUUAACACAUGCAAGUCGAACGAUGAAGCGGUGCUUGCACCGUGGAUUAGUGGCGAACGGGUGAGUAAUACGUGAGUGACCUACCUUUCACUCUGGGAUAAGCCUGGGAAACUGUGUCUAAUACCGGAUACGACCAAUCCCUGCAUGGGGUGUUGGUGGAAAGCGUUAUGGAGUGGUUUUAGAUGGGCUCACGGCCUAUCAGCUUGUUGGUGAGGUAAUGGCUUACCAAGGCGACGACGGGUAGCCGGCCUGAGAGGGUGACCGGCCACACUGGGACUGAGACACGGCCCAGACUCCUACGGGAGGCAGCAGUGGGGAAUAUUGCACAAUGGGCGGAAGCCUGAUGCAGCGACGCCGCGUGAGGGAUGACGGCCUUCGGGUUGUAAACCUCUGUUAGCAUCGAAGAAGCGAAAGUGACGGUAGGUGCAGAGAAAGCGCCGGCUAACUACGUG